GUCUACAGCCAUAUCACCUUGAACAUGCCCAAUAUCGCCUGAUCUCGGAAGCUAAGCAGGGUCAGAUCUGGUUAGUACUUGGAUGGGAAACCACCUAGGAAUACCAGGUGCCGUAGGCU
rnacentral:rRNA from 1 species